GUAGUCGAGGUAAAAAUGAUAUUAUUAAAGUUUCAAAGAGAAAAGAACGAAGUUGAUUUUCGGGAAUUGUCAUAGAGCACGGUGGGCUGAAAAUAAUUUUGAGCGUUAAAACCAUGGGAAGCGGGGUAAACGCACGAGAAUGAAGCAAGUUUUACAAGACUUCUGAAAAUCUUUCUGUCUGAAAGGAUAUUAUUCUUCGGCGUCCCGACGGAGUCCGAAUUAUUGCUGCAAGCAGCAGCCAGCCGUCACCGAUGUUCGGUGCUUAAUUAAAUUUCGAGAAUCGUCACGGCUACUAAUGAAUUCCCGAACGAACAUUCGCAAAAUUCUUCAACUGUUUCAAGGCGCGGUCAGCCAGACAUCGCGCAUUCCCCGCCAAAUUAUAUUGUAUCUCUGAGAUAUUCAUCACUUAUGAAAUUCAACUGGCCGACUGUUCAUUAAAAAUUACCAUCGUCCUGCUUCAGUUGUUCCCAAAGUUCCGUAAGCUGACUGAUCUCGUCCUCGGACCAUACCUUUGGAAGUCUCUUCUGUACCUCGUUUCGUAUAGUCUGAAACAAUGUUUUUUUUUUAAUUUUAAGAUAAAAAUGAGAAUGAGGAUGUUUGCUGGAUAUCGUUGAAGAUUUGUAUGAUCAUUCGAUGAAGGCAACAAUUAAAUUGCCAC
rnacentral:misc_RNA from 1 species